GUGGUUGAGCGUUUAAGAACACUGCUUUUGCAGAGGUCCUGAGUUCAAUUCCCAGCAACCACA
rnacentral:tRNA from 1 species